CCCCUCAUCAGGGACAAGGAGGAGGAAGCCAGCACCUCCUGUCUGCUCGCUGACCCCCAGCCUGGCCCUGCAGACUCUCCCUCCCAUGUCUAGGCAGUUGGAGAAGAAGCAAUUUGGUGCAUGUGAAUUAUUCAGAGCAGUCAAAGUGAAAGGAAGGACUGAGGCAACCCGUCUAGAAACAGCCAGUAAAGAGAUCCCAGCUCGAAACCACUCGUAAGGUUGAUCUCGAAAACAAAUUAGCGACAGGUUUCUGGAGAAUCCCGUGCUCUUCUGCAGGCUUUUCGAUUACUGGCCUGCUGAUGUUCACCUCUGGCAACCCCGCUUCAUCACUGACUCCAGGGAGCAAAGGUCCUUGGGACUCGCUCAUGGUCCUGUCCCAGCCACACGUCCGGCCGACUCAGCACAAGUGCACAGUAACUCCCUGUGGAGGUCAGGAAGUUGCAUCUGUAAUGAUCUCACAGGAGCACCUCCUACGUGCCCCGACACUAGCCACAGCCCGUGCUCCAGACCCCAAGCCAUGGGAAUGCCCGAGCCAGGGCUCUCCACCACCCUGCUCAGGCCCUGCCGCGAGGCGCAUCGCAUGCCUGGUUGGGACUGUGCACAUCCCUUUAUUGGAAAAUUAUCCCAAAUAUGGUGCUGCUGGUUUGGGGCCAUCUCCAAAGACAUCGCACGUUUAGCCUUAGCUGCGAAGGUUCAUGUUCACCCCUAGACAGGGCACUUCCUGCGGAAAAAGUGGGGGCAGAGCAAUUGUGCAGAUAACAGGCAAACCAGGCAAAGACUUUGGGAGUCUAGAAUUUUCCCCUGCAGGCAAGGCGGGGUGUGGGCAUGGGGCCUGGGGCCGGGCAGCACCGGACAUCAAGGCGUCUCAGAGAACGAGAUGCACCAUCAUGAUGGGGAGAAUCUUUCCUGGCUUCUUGUCAUCACACAAGCGUGAGAGGUGCCGCAGGGAUCCAGGCAUCUCCAUCUGUGAACCUCCAGGGUCUCUGCAGAAGAGGAAGGCUCCACCCACACUUCCUUGGCUAGAGUCAGUCAUGUGGCCACAGCCUAGUGCAAGGGAGGCUGGGAGGUGUGGUUUCGGGAUACCGGGGAAGCAGGAAAUGAGAAGAGAAAGGGACCCCUUUCUGACAUUAUUAAAAUAACAAAUGCAUCUCUGCAUACCUCUCGGGCCACAUCUGGGAAAGGCUGACUUUGCAGAGAGGCCAGCAUGCAGUGCUGGGUGACCUUGGGCAGGUGACUUACCCACUCUGAGCUCAAGUCUUUGCCACGCAUGUGGAGAGGCUCACUGGCGUUUCUGAGCUGGGAAGAUUCAAAGCACAGCCCGCCCAGCACCUGGCCCAGGGCAGAGCCUACUGUGAGCUCAUUCUGCCCCUACCCCUGCACACCGUGUUACAGACACCAAGGGCAUGGCCCUGUCAAGUGCCCUUUCUUAAUUCCUUUAUAAAAGGAGAGGGCUGGCUGCGUGACUGUUUCCAACCCAACACCCGUAAAGCAGAUAAACGGGCAGACACGAGUGACUUUCUUAAGGACACAGCCAGCUUGUCGUGGGCCCUGUCUGGGGUGAUGGCAUCCCUGCGGGCCACAGGCCGUGGGCCCCAUCGCCUUCAAGCCUGCAAGCUGGCUGCCACAGCUCACCCACUGCGGGGGCACACUGAGGGGCUUCAGGUCCCUCAUCCAGGACACAGGGAGGACAGGGACGGCCAGGGAGGGUUCCAGGUGGGGAGAGGCCACACUACUGUUUUUCGGAAGACAGGUCCAGGCUGAUGACAGGUCCGGACUGAUGGGGAGCAGCCGUGAAGCAGGCUGUUUGCAUCGUCACUGUAGUCUCCACUCUGGAAAACCAAAAUCCGGUGACUCGCUGAAUUCAAACCCAGGAAGGCUGAGCUAGAGCCAGAACUGGGGUCUCCCCUCUGGGCCAAGUCUGACCGAGAAGCUGGGAGGCCUGCGGCUGGUGCCCAGCCGUUCACUUGGUGGUUGGGGGCUCUCAGCAGCAGCCAGGCCAGGCUCCCACCUCUGUUUCUGCCGAAAAAUAGCAAACACGAUUCCUCAGACCAGAAAGAGGUGGAGACAGGGGUGCGGCUCAGACCAGGACCGGGGCCCUGACAGAGGAUCCCAAGCAGAGAGCAGGGCAGUGGUGCCAGGGAGGCAGGCCGGCUAGCCACACCUCUGAUACAGGCCGCAGAGCUCGGCUGCUCUCGCCUUUGGGAAGGCCUCCACCACGGCUUUGGCAGUGCUGACACUGAAACCUGUCGCUGUUUCUGAGCAUCUGGACGUAUGAUUUAGCGCUUAUUGAUGGCAGGAGAAGCAGGGAGCGACCAUGUAUGUUAACACAUAAUCUAUUCCACACCCAUAUUUCUGUUCUGCAGUCAGUGACGAUGGGGAGACUCACUCCCUCUUAUCAGGCAGUGGCACCUUCAAGACAUCGGCCCCGCCUUGGAGCUGAGCCCAGGUGGGCUUUAUUCAAGAACCUCCCCGACCCCCGUGCUGUUCGCAGGCUGAGCUGAAGCUAGGAUGAUAGGAUUCAGCCGGGUCAGCACUGGCAGAAACACCUGUGACUGUGGCAGACAGAAAAAUGCCACAUCCUCUUCCCCAGAACCUGUGAAUGUUCCUAUCUAAAGAGGCUUUGCAGUUGAGCCAAAGUGAAGGAUUUCAUGGAAAGGGGAGAUGAUUCUGGAUCAUCUGCACAGGCCCUAUGGAAGCUCAAGGGUCCUUAUAAAAGGGAGUUAGGAGGCUCAGAGUCAGAGGGAAGACAUGAGGACCGGCCUGGGAGUUGGAGGCGAGAAGAUGCUGCCAACCUUAAAGAGAGGGAGGAAAUGAGGGGAGGGAGCCCUUGGCCUCUGACCUCUGCCUCCAGGUAAGUUAGUCAGAGACCCCUGCCAUCCACAGAAGACAAGAGGCAGCCCCAUGGGCUCCAGCUGCUCUUUGGUGAAGCCCAGCAGGGAUAAGAGAGGCAGUGUCCUGGACACCCUGGAGAACCCACACCUUUUAGGCUUGAGCCUAGGGGUGGAUCCACAGCGUGCUGGUGACCUUGGUUGUUAACUUCCAGCCACGGGGAUGGAGGCUCCCCUGGGAGCAGGGAGGGAGGAAGGAACAAGAGGGAGGGACCUGAGGCCAUCUGUGACCCUGCUCUAGGGGGGAGCCCACAGGAGCAAGGUCUGUGGACAGGGACCCGCCCUGGCCCUGUGGGGGGCCCUAGAGCUGCCAGAAAUCACCCCAAAAUCCCUUUUCUAACCCCAUGAGCUAAUUUCCCGAAGGAUUUGGCUAAAAGACGCCUGGGGGGUUGUGACAAAUUUAGACCUCGCACGAAAGUGCUGAGUCACGCUUUGCCUGUUUGGAAAACAGGAAGCUAAUUAAGUUACUGUUGGAGGCAGAGGCUGCAGCAGGAGGAGGC
ensembl:lncRNA